AGUGGCGGACGGGUGAGUAACGCGUGAGAAUCUGCCUUGGGGUCGGGGACAACCACUGGAAACGGUGGCUAAUACCGGAUACGCCUUCGGGUAAAAGAUUUAUUGCCCUAAGAGGAGCUCGCGUCUGAUUAGCUAGUUGGUGAGGUAAGAGCUCACCAAGGCAGCGAUCAGUAGCUGGUCUGAGAGGACGAUCAGCCACACUGGGACUGAGACACGGCCCAGACUCCUACGGGAGGCAGCAGUGGGGAAUUUUCCGCAAUGGGCGAAAGCCUGACGGAGCAAGACCGCGUGAGGGAGGAAGGCUCUUAGGUUGUAAACCUCUUUUCUCAGGGAAGAAGCUCUGACGGUACCUGAGGAAUCAGCCUCGGCUAACUCCGUGCCAGCAGCCGCGGUAAUACGGAGGAGGCAAGCGUUAUCCGGAAUUAUUGGGCGUAAAGCGUCCGCAGGUGGCGAUUCAAGUCUGCUGUCAAAGCACGGGGCUUAACUCCGUAAAGGCAGUGGAAACUGAAUAGCUAGAGUGCCGUAGGGGUAGAGGGAAUUCCCGGUGUAGCGGUGAAAUGCGUAGAGAUCGGGAAGAACAUCGGUGGCGAAAGCGCUCUACUGGACGGCAACUGACACUCAGGGACGAAAGCUAGGGGAGCGAAUGGGAUUAGAUACCCC
rnacentral:rRNA from 1 species